AGGUAGGCUCCCGGGAGGGCCGGGCUGGCGGGAAGCUGGGCGUGGAGGGGACGGGGGCCUGCGCCGCGACCCCGCCGCGCUGCCGUUGUUCCCAGGCGAUUGCUGUUUCGCGGCUCGGCGAUGCAGACCACGUAAAGGACAACGGAAAACGUCUCCCUGCUGGGGCCGGUUCUGUAACGUAUUGAGAUCUCACGUUCUGAAAAAAACCUUUGGACCCUCUUCUACCUCCGCCGAGAAAGCCCAUCUGGAAGGAAACUCUAAACAGCUUCAAGUGUCACUUGGCUGACAUCACAGCCGACCCGAGAGAGGCAGGAAGAAGUUGUACUUCUACUGAAGAUGUUCGUACUUUUGAACGUGAAUUAUGCCUGCCCCUUCUCCAGUCUUGUGGAUUGCUAGUGUCUACAGUGGAAAGAUCUGAGAAUCUACAUCAAAGGACAUUAAUACCACCCACCAAUAUGAGGACAUGAAACCAAUCACCAGUCCAGAAGACGUUUAGUACAGAGGUUCAAGCCUAUGGUUCUACUCUCGGCUCUGUCCCUACCCAACCUCGUGACCCUCCUAGGAAAUCACUUACCCUCUCUGUAACUCAGUGUCCCUCAUCUGCAAAAUAGGGAUACCACUUACCAUGAACACCGGGUUUUGAGUCUCUUCCCAUUGGCAGAGGAUGAUUGCUUAAACCCAAAGAGUGGAAGCCCGGCUUAAAGGAUUUUAUUUGUUUGGUCAUAUUUGGAUUCCUGUAUUGAGAACAUACAAGUAUUUUUAUCAUAAUCAUUAUCCUUAUCAAUAUCUGGGUAAUAUAAACUGAGGCAAAGAGGCCAGGAAAAAUGAGAACCAGUUCUUACCUAUUUUUCACAAUUUAUAUUCAAUAAUGCUUAGGAAUUCCCAGGUGCUUCUCUCUAACUGCACUGUGUUUAGUUUUUAGGACAGCUUCUGUGCAAAAGAAAAGCACACCUCGAACUGGCUCCAACAAAAAAUGGAUUUUAUUGAUUUACAUCACCAGAGUCCAAAAGUAGACUUUGAGGUCGGCUUUGUUCAGGAGGCCGAACAGCAGACUCAAGUUUCUUCUUGGUUCUCUCUCUCUCUGCUUUCUGCAUUAUCUGCUUCCUCUUCUGGCUGGCUUCGUUCAGUGUGUUCAGGUGGGUUCCGAGGACGGGGCAUAUUUCCUCACCCAAGCCUUGCAAGGAAGACUGAUCAUCUUGUCCCAUCAUUCCCAGCUAGAAUCCUGAAACUCACUCAGAUUAGAUCGCCUUGGACCACAUGCAGGGACAACAACGAAAAGCACUAUGUGAUUUAGUGUCUGUCACCUGUCACACAUUUCACAGCUGGAGCUUGGGUAGAGUUAACUUCAGUAGCACCAAACAGAUACCUUCCUAGCAAAAGAAAGUCCCAUCAUCCCCCUCAGUGGUUUCUGAGACAGCUUUUUCUGAGAAAUAGGUGGCUAAAUAAAUGCUAGGUUGCUAUUUUAA